AUUGAACGCUGGCGGCAGGCCUAACACAUGCAAGUCGAGCGAGCGGCGGACGGGUGAGUAAUGUAUGGGGACUGCCCGUUAGAGGGGGAUAACUACUGGAGACGGUAUCUAAUACCGCAUACUAUCGGAUGACCCGCGGUGCAUUAGCUAGUUGGUGAGGUAAUGGCUCACCUGGGCGACGCUCUCUAGCUGGUCUGAGAGGAUGAUCAGCCACACUGGGACUGAGACACGGCCCAGACUCCUACGGAGGGAGCAGUGGGGAAUAUUGCACAAUGGGCGCAAGCCUGAUGCAGCCAUGCCGCGUGUAUGAAGAAGGCCCUAGGGUUGUAAAGUACUUUCAGUCGGGAGGCGUUACCGACAGAAGAAGCACCGGCUAACUCCGUGCCAGCAGCCGCGGUAAUAC
rnacentral:rRNA from 1 species